rnacentral:rRNA from 1 species
CCUACGGGAGGCAGCAGUGAGGAAUAUUGGUCAAUGGGCGAGAGCCUGAACCAGCCAAGUCGCGUGAAGGAUGAAGGAUCUAUGGUUUGUAAACUUCUUUUAUAUGGGAAUAAAGUGAGGAACGUGUUCCUUUUUGUAUGUACCAUAUGAAUAAGCAUCGGCUAACUCCGUGCUAGCAGCCGCGGUAAUACGGAGGAUGCGAGCGUUAUCCGGAUUUAUUGGGUGUAAAGGGUGCGUAGGUGGUUAAUUAAGUCAGCGGUGAAAUUUUGUGGCUCAACCAUAAACUUGCCGUUGAAACUGGUUAACAUGAGUAUAUUUGAGGUAGGCGGAAUGCGUGGUGUAGCGGUGAAAUGCAUAGAUAUCACGCAGAACACCGAUUGCGAAGGCAGCUUACUAAACUAUAACUGACACUGAAGCACGAAAGCGUGGGGAUCAAACAGGAUUAGAUACCCCAGUAGUC